ACUGGAUUUGCAGCAGAAACACUCUGCUACAGAACAAGUGUCUUGGUUCACAGCAAAGAGGACAAAGAAAACAGCAAGUUUUAGGGGGUUGAAUCCUGGAUUCCCCUGGCAAACACCAUUCUACUUUCCGUCUCUAUGAAUUUGACUACUCGAAGUACCUCAUGUGAAAUGUUGGUGCCAAAUGAACUUUUCUGGUUCUUCUGAAUAGGAUGAAGAGAUCCUCCUAGCUUGGCGGAAUACUCUGCUCUGAUGGAAGUACCAUCCUGGUCCAAACAUGAAAGAAUUCCCAACAUCAAGAUUGAUUGAAACAUAUUCAAUGGAUCAUUUGCUCCAGAAGAAGCUGGUUGCCAUGUCUUGAGGACAGUAAACCCUCUGGGGAGGUUCCUGUGGUAAGGAACAAGGGCUCCUGGCAAUAGCCUCUGAGUGAGCCACCUUGAAAAUGGAUUGUCCAGCCCCAGUCAAGCUUUCAGAUGACUGUAGCUCCUGCCAAUGUCUUCACCACAACCUCAUGAGAUCCCAAGCUACAACCACUCAGAACUUCAUCUUUUGGGAAGCACCAGGGAGAGCUGCCUGUGCCUGGCAGAAGCUGCCCAUGCCCCACUGAUACCCCACAGUACUUCCUGUUCUGCUUAGUACUCCUGCUUCUUUCUACAAACAACUGUGAUUCUCUACCUGGGAGCUUCCUCUGGCCACAGGAGCCUGCUCACCUGAUUGGGACACCCUAGCAGUACUGGCUCAUAGAUGGAAGGGACUUGCCUUGUCGCUGAUGAGACUUUCGACUUGGACUUUUGAGUCAAUGCUGGAAUGAGUUAAGACUUUGGGGAACUGUUGGAAGGGUGUGAUUGUGUUUUGAAUUGUGAGGACAUGAGAUUUUGAAGAGGCUAAUGGCAGCGUCCCCACCUAAAUCUCUUCUUGAAUUGUAGUUCCCAUAAUCCCCACGUGUCGUGGGGUGGAGCCGGUGGAGAUAAUUGAAUCAUGGGAACACUUUCCCCCAUGCUGUUAUUGUGAUUGUGAAUUCUCACGAGAUCUGAUGGUUGUAUAAACGCCUUCCCUCUUCGCUGGGCACUCAUUUUUCUCCUUCCUGCCACCAUGUGAAGAAGGAUAUGCUUGCUUCUUGUGCCAUGAUUGUAAGUUUCCUGAGGCCUCCCCAGCCAUGCUGAACUACAAGAACACACUCAGAAAUUUUCUCAACACAGUUUCUAUGCAGAGAAGAGAUGUGGGACAGAUUUGAACUGCUGUCAUAUUUGUAUGAACCCAAGACAUUUUCCAAGACCAAGAGGGAUAAAGACAGCAAUUUCUAUGACUGGCAUUUUACGUGCAUGCACUGUUUCCAAGUGUUCUUGUGUUCUGUGCCUUAAACAUUCUGUGUUGCAACUUUAUGAAUUGAAUUAAAGAUAAUCCCAAGCCCCCAAUUGUCUCAAAAAGUGAAAAAGUAAAUGUUAUAGAAAGAAAAGCGGGAAAAACUUUAAGCAUGAAAUAAAAGAUGGGUUGUGAUAAAAGAGGACUGAAGAAGGAAAAGGAAUGAAAGGUUCUGCCAUCCUUCAUGGCAGCCCACUCCACUUGGUAUGAGAUACUGCUCCCUUGGCUGAAAGUUAACUGCUGUACUCCCUCCACUUUCUAUAAAUGACUCCCUGUGCCUUUCCUUCACCACACAACUCACACUCUCUUCCUUCCUAGUGAGUCCACUAAGGCUUCACUGCAUUAUUACAUUUAUUUCAUUUAGGAAAAACUGACUUUAUUUUCCUUCAAAUUGUUUUUUAUUGUUUAUAUGAGCUUGGUUUUAUUGUCAUUCUAUUUUUCUCCAUGAAAAUAGAGAAAAAUAGGGUCGAAAGGUUAGGUUGGGUGGAAAGGAAUUAUAUUUUUUCUCACUAAAAUUGAUGUAAAUAUCGUUUUCAAUUGAAUGAUUUUACACAGUGGCACAGUUUCAGGUAUGUUGCUAAGCAGGAAAGUUGUUAACCAAAGCAUGAAUGUAUUAAGGAGAUGUAUGCAGAAUGACAUGCAAGGUUAUCUAUGAUUGCUGAGU
ensembl:lncRNA STXBP5-AS1 STXBP5 antisense RNA 1